CAGCAGCCGCGAGAAUACCGAGGGUGCGAGCGUUAAUCGGAUUUACUGGGCGUAAAGCGUGCGUAGGCGGCUUUUUAAGUCGGAUGUGAAAUCCCUGAGCUUAACUUAGGAAUUGCAUUCGAUACUGGGAAGCUAGAGUAUGGGAGAGGAUGGUAGAAUUCCAGGUGUAGCGGUGAAAUGCGUAGAGAUCUGGAGGAAUACCGAUGGCGAAGGCAGCCAUCUGGCCUAAUACUGACGCUGAGGUACGAAAGCAUGGGGAGCAAACAGGAUUAGAUACCCCGGUAGUCCCUGUCUCUUAUAC
rnacentral:rRNA from 1 species